rnacentral:rRNA from 1 species
AAAAAAGGUAAGCUACUAAGAGCGAAUGGUGGAUGCCUUGACUGGUAAAGGCGAUGAAGGACGUACUAGACUGCGAUAAGCUACGGGGAGCUGUCAAGAAGCUUUGAUCCGUAGAUUUCCGAAUGGGGCAACCCAAUGUAUAGAGAUAUGCAUUACCUAUAUAGGAGCGAACGAGGGGAAUUGAAACAUCUUAGUACCCUCAGGAAAAGAAAUCAAUAGAGAUUGCGUCAGUAGCGGCGAGCGAAAGCGCAAGAGGGCAAACCCAGUGCUUGCACUGGGGGUUGUAGGACUGCAAUGUGCAAGAGGUAAGUUUAGCAGAACAUUCUGGAAAGUAUAACCAUAGAGGGUGAUAGUCCCGUAUGCGAAAAACAAAGCUUAGCUAGCAGUAUCCUGAGUAGGGCGGGACACGAGGAAUCCUGUCUGAAUCCGGGUCGACCACGAUCCAACCCUAAAUACUAAUACCAGAUCGAUAGUGCACAAGUACCGUGAGGGAAAGGUGAAAAGAACUGAGGUGAUCAGAGUGAAAUAGAACCUGAAACCAUUUGCUUACAAUCAUUCAGAGCACUAUGUAGCAAUACAGUGUGAUGGACUGCCUUUUGCAUAAUGAGCCUGCGAGUUGUGGUGUCUGGCAAGGUUAAGCAAACGCGAAGCCGUAGCGAAAGCGAGUCUGAAUAGGGCGCUUAGUCAGAUGCUGCAGACCCGAAACGAAGUGAUCUAUCCAUGAGCAAGUUGAAGCUAGUGUAAGAACUAGUGGAGGACUGAACCCAUAGGCGUUGAAAAGCCCCGGGAUGACUUGUGGAUAGGGGUGAAAGGCCAAUCAAACUUCGUGAUAGCUGGUUCUCUCCGAAAUAUAUUUAGGUAUAGCGUUGUGUCGUAAUAUAAGGGGGUAGAGCACUGAAUGGGCUAGGGCAUACACCAAUGUACCAAACCCUAUCAAACUCCGAAUACCUUAUAUGUAAUCACAGCAGUCAGGCGGCGAGUGAUAAAAUCCGUCGUCAAGAGGGAAACAACCCAGACUACCAGCUAAGGUCCCUAAAUCUUACUUAAGUGGAAAACGAUGUGAAGUUACUUAAACAACCAGGAGGUUGGCUUAGAAGCAGCCAUCCUUUAAAGAAAGCGUAAUAGCUCACUGGUCUAGUGAUUUUGCGCGGAAAAUAUAACGGGGCUAAAGU